rnacentral:lncRNA from 1 species
ACGUCAUCCAGCUCUGUCACCCACUACCCUAGGGUUACUUCAACACAGGAUCCAGACUCAACUUUAGCGAAAAUUUGAAGAUCCAAUGCUUGAUGAUGAGGAUGACGAUUUCAACAAUAUCCUUUGUUUGGUCAUUCCUCCGUCAUGUAUAUUUACAAGUGUGAUUUCUUUGAUUAAUCCGAUUCAUAAAUUCGAAGGUUAGAAUUUUCUAUCUAUCUUUUUUGUUUUUCAUCAGACGUUUCUAUCUAUCUUAAUUGUAAUAUGAUUUUUAUUUUGAGAAAAAUUGAAGCACCCUUUCAUUUAAUAGAUAGCACAAGACAUAGAUCUCAAAGCUGCGUGUACAUGCCGUAACCCUAGGAACAUUUGGUUUACAGUUCAACUUAUAAAGGCUCCAAUUUUAACUCUCGGUUACAAUUGUUGUUUAUUUUUAUUUCUGUUGUUUCUUUUCAAUUGCUUUGAUUCAAUUCUUUAUUAUUCUUAUUUUUUUAUUUUUUUAUUUUCUUUCUUUCUUUCUUUCUUCCAUCCUUGUGUUUAUUAUUCUGAUUGUAAUAUAGUAUGAAUUGGUGUGGCUUAAACAUUCAUCUACCUUUUUUGUAGAUGUUAUUUAAAGUUUUUUUUUUGUUCUGAGUUUGUAUUCUUUCUCUCGCAGAUCAAUGUUCUAGACAACUAUGUGAGCAAACAGCUGCAUGCAAGACAUGAAUGCAGAGCUUUUAACUUGCCAAUGUGUGUUGGGUGGAUACCAUCUUUGAUUACUCCUUUCCAAUGAAUUCAUGUCUGAUUCGGCAGUGUCAGUGAAUUGAUUGAAACCGUUACACAUGCUAGCAGAAACACUAGGAGUAUCAAAGGUGGUUGGAUCAAAGACGCGACACAUUUUCCAUCCUGUGGGAACAAAUCAUAUGUAGUGUGUGCAAACGCAUCAAACACUUUAGUAGCACUGGUAGACGAUCUAGUGGAGCGAUCUAGUGGAGUUGAAUUGUUGAAAGCCAAUAGAAGAUGGAAAGGCUUACAUUAUGGGUGGGAAUUUGAAAUUCAAUUGGGGUUUGUAAUGUGUGCAAGUUAGUUGGUGACUAUUAAGUUCGGCAAUUAAAGUCAAAAUGACUCCCAAACGGAGUAGGGUUAGGGUUUUGGAGAUUAGCUUGCAAUGUUAAUUAGAAUUAGAAAUAAGUAUGAUAUAUUUCAAGUGUUAUUCAUUUUUUAUUGUGAGUGAAAAUCGUGGGUUCUCUUGUAUAUUAAUAUGAUAACACAAUAUUAUACAUGCAUAUGAGUUUUUU